rnacentral:rRNA from 1 species
AUUAAGCCAUGCAUGUCUAAGUACUAGCCGCCUUAUAAAAUGGUGAAACCGCGAAAAGCUCAUUAAAUCGGCUUUGGUUUAUUAGACAGUUUACAAAUUGAGUGAUUUUUGGCGUUUUGCGCGUCACAAAAUCCGAAAUUGUUAAUGGAUAACUGUGGUAAUUCUAGAGCUAAUACAUGAAAAACGUAUGUGCAAAACGCCGAUUGUUGUUGUCGUCGAUUGCAAGAUUGACGUUCUGGUGGCAAUCGGAGCGGUUUUGCACGCUUUUAUUAGAGGAAAAAGCCUUUCGAUUGGUUGUGCAUGUGUGCCUUGUGUGCGCGUGUGCAAUCAUAGAAACGAAGGUGAUGAAUCUGAAUAACUUGAACGGAUUCUUCGUGAAGGGAAUGAUUGCAAAAUUGUUUCUGGUAGCGGAGGAUUUAAAGCAGACCGCAAAUUAAUCGUCGUAGUCAUACGCGUCAUCGUAUCCGGGCAGUAUUCUGUUCGAUUGCGGUGGCCGACUGCGAUGAGGUUGCGGCGUGUCUUUCAAUUGUCUGCCUUAUCAACUUUCGAUGGUAGGUUACAUGCCUACCAUGGUUGUAACGGGUAACGGGGAAUCAGGGUUCGAUUCCGGAGAGGGAGCCUGAGAAACGGCUACCACAUCUAAGGAAGGCAGCAGGCACGCAAAUUACCCACUCCCGGCACGGGGAGGUAGUGACGAUAAAUAACGAUCCGGAGCUCUGAUGAGUUUCCGAAAUCGGAAUGAGUACAAUUUAAAUCCUUUAACGAGGAGCUAAUGGAGGGCAAGUCUGGUGCCAGCAGCCGCGGUAAUUCCAGCUCCAUUAGCAUAUAUUAAAGUUGUUGCGUUUAAAAAGCUCGUAGUUAAAUUUGUGUCCUAUGCUGUCAGUCGCUCGCAAUUUAAUUUGCGCAGUUUGAUUUGGCACGCAUGGGAUGUCAUGCUGGUGGCGUAUCGUGACCGGCGGUGCACGCACACAACCUAAUGUGUUGUUGCCGUCGUCGUGUCCGGCCAACACCGAUUUCGUUGCGUCCGAAACGUCGUAUGCCGUUGAUAUUCGCCGCCGCGUUCUUAACGGACGUCGUGUGUGCGUGUGUCUCGCGUGUACGAUCGUUGUUUUCGGUCGCGGUGCGAUUUCGUGUUCUGGUAUUCGGUUCGUAUGCGUGCGGUGCAAACGAUGCUUUCCGGUAAAACAGUGACUCGUUUCAAUCGCAAACUUGUCGCUCGGAGAGCUUUCUGUUUCCCGUCUGCGCGUCGAACUUCAAAAACAUACCGGACCAGUGAGUUUACUUUGAACAAAUUAGAGUGCUUAAAGCAGGCAAAUUUGAAUGCCUUGAAUAUAAGUGCAUGGAAUAAUAGAAUAUGAUUUCGAUACCGUUUCAAGGCUUUUGUGCAUUGGUAAUCGGGCGUCGCGGUAGAGGUCGAUGUUUGGUGCUGUCGUUUUCUAAACGUCGCAUCGUCAAAACUCGGUCGCACUAUCGAUCGCCGCCUCUUGUCUCUGCAAGAAAAACGAUCCAAUGSGCGCGGAAUAUCGAAAUAAUGAUCAAUAGAGACGGAUGGGGGCAUUCGUACUACGACGUUAGAGGUGAAAUUCUUGGAUCGUCGUAAGACGAACGGAGGCGAAAGCGUUUGUCAAAAACGUUUUCAUUGAUCAAGAACGAAAGUUAGAGGUUCGAAGGCGAUCAGAUACCGCCCUAGUUCUAACCAUAAACGAUGCCAACUAGCGAUCCGCCGAUGUUCAUUCGAUUGACUCGGCGGGCAGCUUCCGGGAAACCAAAGUUUUUGGGUUCCGGGGGAAGUAUGGUUGCAAAGCUGAAACUUAAAGGAAUUGACGGAAGGGCACCACCAGGAGUGGAGCUUGCGGCUUAAUUUGACUCAACACGGGAAAUCUCACCAGGCCCGGACACCGAAAGGAUUGACAGAUUGAUAGCUCUUUCUUGAUUCGGUGGGUGGUGGUGCAUGGCCGUUCUUAGUUGGUGGAGUGAUUUGUCUGGUUAAUUCCGAUAACGAACGAGACUCUGGCCUGCUAACUAGACGUAAACGUGCUGUCGGUUCGUUUGGCGUGUUCGUGUGCCGUGCUGCCGCGCGUUCGCGUAACACGCGUACGUUGUGCUUCGGCAUGGCGUGCGUGGUGACACGAGCAUCUGUGGUCGCGGUACGCGGGUGCGUUCAAGUGUCCGGUGGCCGUUAGAACCGAUAUUUUGAAGCCGUUUGUGCACGAGAGGAUGCAUUGGUCGCUAUUGCUCUUGCCGUUUGGAGUGUUGCUUGCGCAUAUGCUCAAUGUGUGUGUGCGCAUUGCUUGUGGGCGGUUGCUGUUUUCGGAUGGCGCUGUUCAUAAGUGUGUGUUGCCUUUGCGCGUGUGUGUGUGCGGUGUUUUGACGGUAAGUCGGCGAUAGUGUUUCGAUGUGUCCGCUUCUCGUGUGCAACAUUCCGCUAUCGGCGUAUUGAAAAAUCUCUUCUUAGAGGGACAGGUGGAUAAAAAGCCACACGAGAAGGAGCAAUAACAGGUCUGUGAUGCCCUUAGAUGUCCUGGGCUGCACGCGUGCUACACUGAAAAAAUCAGCGUGUUUUUUCUAUUCCGACAGGAACGGAUAAACCGUUGAAAAUUUUUCGUGAUAGGGAUCGGAGAUUGAAAUUAUUCUCCGUGAACGAGGAAUUCCCAGUAAGCGCGAGUCAUAAGCUCGCGUUGAUUACGUCCCUGCCCUUUGUACACACCGCCCGUCGCUACUACCGAUUGAAUGAUUUAGUGAGGUCUUCGGACUGUCUCGCGACAAACGUUUCRGCGUUUUCGUUGUUCUGAUAGAAAGAUGACCGAACUUGAUC